GCAUGGGUUUGGAUUUAUGGCAGGUCCAUUCUCCUUGGGCCUCUCAUAGUGUCCCAUGCCACAGUAAACAGUGGCCUCUGACCAUUGCCUGGCCCUUGCCAGUGUGCUCUGGGCACUGAAGCGGGUUACACAAUG